UACAAUAGGCCAGAAGUUGCUCCAGUACAAGGGACUUAAUCCCACCCCACUAGCAUUAAAAAAAAACAAUCAGUGCUCACCACAGCAUCUCCAGUGCCCAUUGGUUAGCACACUGCUUAGCAGGAAAAGUAUAAAGAUAUGGAUGUCUGACACACUAACAUCAGUCACAACUACACUAGCAUCAAGAGAACGCUGCAACAGCAAGUGUACUAGUGGCAACACCGCAGCCAACUCUGCCAGCGCUCUUCAGGCCAUCCAGCCAGCCAGUCUUGCCACCACCAUUAGCAUUAGCUAGUCUGCUACUGCAAGAGCUUUGUCUGGCAUCCUGCUGGCUCACGAGCACUGAGCUGCCACACAAGGAAGAACUCCGAUGCUAGUGCUGACUAGUCUGCUUUGACAAGAGCUUCACCUGGCAUCCAACAGGUGAGCUGACUCACAGUCACCAAGCUGCUGCAAGGAAGAACACCAACACUAGUGCUGGCUAGUCCGCUGCUAUGAGAGCUUCGCCUGGCAUCUGGCAGGCGCACCUGACUCCUGACAAACGGUCCUUUUCAGGGACAGCAAUAUCACUGCCAUCGCUAGUGCAGACUAGCCUGCUACAAAGGGAGUUUUCACUGGUAUUCAUCAGGCAUGCCCUGCUUCCCUGGUCAUCUGUAAUAUUCAUUCUAACAGCAAUAAACAUUUGUUAUAAGUUUACAUGGUUGUCUCUUCGAGCAUUGACAUCCCAUAGUAUCCUGUCUUCGGCAAUCCUGUCCUCAUGUGUCAGUGUUAUGUGCAGAUGGCUGGUGGCAUGGUUACUAUGUCUAGUGGGUAAAGAAGUGUUUUCUUUACAGCUGUGGCCUACAAAAUUGGUGUACUCCACUUAUAACACAUAUUGAAUCGGUGGAUGACUAGGUUUCACAUUAUGGACUUUUGAGGUAGAAAUACAUUUUCAAGACCAUAUCAUGCUGUAACGUGGGGUCAUUCUGUAUAUACACUGUACAUAGUUUUCUUUCUUAGAGACACGCUGUAUUUACACAACAUGCUCUUGCAUGUACACUGUUUGUUUUAUGGAUGUUGCUUAAUUAUAAGAAAGUUCAGCUUGUUCAACAUCAGAAGUUAUGAACCAGGAAUCCAUGGAAGCCACCAUUAAUGGCACCUUCUGCUUCCAUACUCUUCAAGUAGCCCUAAACCUUAAUUUACACUCAUUAGCUAUCCUGAAUCAUAUUUGAUAUCGGUAAUAAAUAAGUAAUAUUUCUAAUGUAAAUUUAUAUUUAAUAUCAACUUUAUAUGUUAAGCUAUCUUUUUAUGUUAUUACAAUAUUGUGUCACUUUUAUUGUAUCUGUAUUCUUUCCCAUUUCAGGUAACCUGUUCUAGGAAAUUGUUACCAAUAUUCCUGUGUGUGUAUGAGAAUUAUCUCUAGAUGUCAGCAACUUAUGUGGUAUACUAAACCAUAUAUAGAGUGUAACUCCCAUAUAAUGUUUUCUCCCAUUUAUUAGAUAUCAGUGAUCCAAAAUCAAUAAUCUCAGUUUUAAAUUUUUGUCAUUCAAGAUUUUCUAUGGUUUAGUGUUAGAUCCACUGCUUCCGUAAAGUGAUUCAGGGGUUUGCUAUAGUAUCACAGUACAACACACAGAUGGCAGCAGAAUCACUUUGGACAGUCCUUUGUGUUUUUGCUGCAGAAGGCUGAAUGGACAUUGCCUAGACCUGUUUUGUAUUUACAAUUUUUUUUCCCCCACAAUAAAAAAAAGUAUGCAUUUAGUGACUGGCAAGUAGCAUGAGGGCUUAUAGGUUCUGUUCUAGGUACAAAUGUUUCAAAUAACCAUGAAAUAUCACACACAAGUUAUAGAACUAGAAGUCUUCCAUAACACCAAUUCUUGAAUUUGUGGAAAAUCAUUAAUUUAUGCAUUUUCCAGGAACAAAACUGUUGUGUGAAUUGGGGUAUACCUGUAUACAGUGGAACCUCAAUUUGGUGGCCCUUGAUUUAAGGCUUUCCCUCAAUUAACCUUUUAGUUUCAGUAUUCCCAACUCAAUAAUCUCUGUUUUAAAUUGCCUCAGAUUAGUGAUCAAACCUACUGAUCACAGAAGAAAUCUAAAUAGGGGUUUUCUGCAUCUCAUUCUGAAAUCUGAACUAGACGUGCUGAAUGUGAUUCAGGAAAAUUGUCUUUGAGGGUGAAUACACACUUUGAUCUGAGUCUACAUAUAUCUGACAUUAAUGUGUUAUGUUAAAUAUUGUUAUUUUGGACUCUGCACACUGUCUUGUGUAUUUUCAAGUACAAUACUGUGGAAACUGGAUCUAUUUCUGACAUCAGGUAGACCAGUUAUUGAGAUGAGCUCAUUCUAACAGGCUGAACAGAGUAGGAACUUUUAUUCUUUGCACUGAUGAUGGAAACCAUUUCUGAAGCAUUGUGUUUGAAGGAAAGCAAGGCUAUGGAUAGUGUCCAAAAUAAUAUGGUGAGCUCUUGAUUAUCCACAGUAAUGGAAAGGAGAAGUAGCAUAGGUAACUAAAAGCAAUAGGUAACCCAAAAAUGGGGAAAUUAAGUAUGUACUAUCCAUGCUGCAUUUGACCCCAAAAAUUAGUUUAUUUGUCAUGCUGCUGAUCAGUAAACAGUGUGAUAAAGCUGCAACAGAAUAUGAAUAUUUAGUCUACUAGAAAUUAUUGUCAAACAUCACUGAUGCUUACUACUGAAACAGAUGUAAUGGACAAUGCUUAAAUCAUUACAGGAGGCAAUAAUCAGUGGCUAGGCAGUUAUAAAAAUUCCCCCAAUUAAUCUUCACAGUGGGUAAUGGAGAGUCUACUGAAAUCAUGUUCACCAUAACAGUUCGAUCUGUACAAAAAUGUGAAUUGAUGUUCCAAUCUUGGUCACUAGUAAAAAAAGGUGUGUGGUCCUGUUAUACUCUGAACAGAGUACGCUGAUAUUGCACUGGAAACCCUCCAUAAUCAUUGAUGUUGACAAGAGUUCAAGUACAAUAAGAAGUUCAAAGCACCCAAGCAUUUCAUACCAGAUCACAUGUGGCAAAAAUUACAUUUGCCAUCUUCAGGAUCAAUUUGUGGGUAGAGGUCAGAUAUCCAUAUAUUCAUCUGUCAGUGAGUGGAGACGGAGGUAAAGGUAUGGUUGGAUGAAACAGGAGUAGGGUGCUGUUCAAUAACGAAUAACCCCAUGGUUCAGAAUCAGUGAUGAAAAUAGUCUUGUGAAACACAUGAUUAGGAAAAGGGGAUAUGACAAAAGUUCAAGGAGUGUUCAAAAAAUUAAAAGUAACCAGGCAGUUAGGAAAUGAUAUCAGAAAUUCUGGUACUCAUGUGAUUAGAAGAGGUCAUGAAAUUUCCCCUCUCCUAACCUCUUUUCUUGAUCACCUUCUCUCUAAAAACUUUUUCAUAGCCUCUUUUCCUUAGCCAUGUGGUCACUCCAUGUUGGGUAGCAUGCCCCUGUACUCUGUUUUGUCCAGUAAGGGGCUUCACCUCCCCACUCACUGACUGUCUAUAUAAGCAUGAGUGUUUCUGAAUCCCUGCUCCCCAAAAACAUUAAUCCUGAAAAUGUCAGUGGCAGUGUUUGCUGAAACAAAAAACCUUUAAUAUUCCAUGCAGCUAAUUAUUGAAAGCUGAUGUUGUACAUUAGUUUCUUAUGUUGUUAUUUCAACUUGACAGCAUGCUAUGUAUCGGAGUGCAAUACCAUCACAUGGUGCAGUGCUUCUCAACUGAGCAAUGUAAUGAGUGGUUCUGUGCAGUGAUUACCAGAUGGUGCUAAAUUUGUAUGUUAAUGUGUUGUAGAUAUAUAAAUAUACUUUUUCAUGGUACAUACAUUCAUUGUAAAUAAACUCUGCACCCUU